GGUUAUUCAACGUCACACAACAGUAAAGAUAGGGAAUAAACCGUUGUAGCUUACUGAAAAAUACACAACGAUAGAAAUGAAAACCAACAGUUGUCUGAAAAGGUAAAAAUACAACGAAAAUGUUUUAUUGUUUGUUGUCUAAGUGGACUUGUCGAUGCCGCGCAUGGCAUCGAUCUGCGCAGCGACUUAUACAACGAAAGUAUUGAACUGUUGAGAAAAAUGUGAUCACACAACGGUGAUUUCCACACUUAUCUGAAGAUUCAAUCAGACAAGCCCGAGAUAUACAACGGAAAACCUAUAGUCACACAACGGUGUUCCAACAGAAGUAUGAGCAUUACGAUAGAGGGCAAGACAAGGGCAAACAACAUGACACCUCCCGGGAUAACAACCAGGGAUGUGGUUCAGACCGUCGCCAUAGUGGGCAGCGGGGACGGGACCAUCCUUAUCGGUCCCAAGAGCAGAGCCCCCAGCAGCAACAACGUCGCUCCUCCCCGUCACCCCGUUAUGAGGUCCACACUACCCUGACCACUACAUAUGAAGAUAUAUGGGCCAAGCAUAAAGACCUCAUGACACGACCCACCCCAAAUUUCAUCCUGAAACCCAGAGUAAGUCGUGCGGGGACCACCUCCAAGGAAAAUUUACCGAAAAAUCGGCUUAACCUCCCUUGAAAAUGGACUACCCUUCCUAAUAAUACCUGCAAACACUUUUGAAAAUUUAAAUCCAACCUUAAACUCCUGGAGCCUCCGUGCUCCCCAAAUCACAACACCACCCAAAUUAUUUACUAAUCUAAACAAAUCUCAUAUCCAACCAUUUAUAGGUUUAGAGCAACUCUAACAGGAAGAAAGGAAACAUAAUAAAUUAACAAACGGAAGCUAUAUGAUGACUAUGCCUCAUCCCCAUGUACGCCCGACCUCAACUAUGCAAUCCUGCAAACUGGGCAUUUUUAAAACGAAGAGCCCAAGGGAAAACAUUUGAAACAAGUUAGAGUGAGUGGACAAAAAUAAAUUAACGAAUAAAAUAUUUAUGUUUCCCUAAAUCAAUUUCCAAGGAAAAUCGAAUGCAUGCUGCAAGCGAUAAAACUUUUAUCUCAUAAAUGUCGAGCCUCUCAGGCUUUAUAAUAUAUGUAUGUAUUUACACACGUCCAUACUCCCUAUAUAAAUUCAUGGGUCUAUAUAGGGCUACUACGCUCGCGUCCAACGCUCACGUCACGUCUUAAUGCGGUGCUACACUACGCCAUUAAGGUGGACAGACGGGUGUAUAAAUAUGUGCCCAUACCCCCUAUAUGAAUUAAACACUCAUAUAGGGCUACUACACUCACGUCCAACGCUCACGUCACACCAUAAUGCGGCUAUAUGCUACGCCAUUAAGGUGGACAGACACAUAUGGCUAGCUAGCAUUUAUAUACAUACUCUCUCAUAAAUACAUAUUUAUAUCCACCGAAAAUCCCAUUUGCUCCUCGGCGGACGGCGGCGGGAGGACGGCCGGAAAAUUGGGCAGCGGGAGGAGCUCGGGGAGAGAGAAAACCGGGAAGAAAAAAAAAAAAGAGAAGGGAGAAAAUGGCUUUGGGCCUCCUCCCCCCAAACCGGUCCAACUUAAUACCCAUUUGAAAACAAACCCAACUCCAAAAAUAAAACACCCCGAAAAUAAUACCCGAAUAAAAAUUACCUUUUACUAGCUAAAAUUUACUAUUUUUACCGUUGUCAUAUUUUCUCCCACGAAUAAUUCCCCGAAAUUAAUCGUCUCUCAAAACACCUCUAGGGACCGAUUAAACUAUUACCUCAAUGAAGGAGACAGUAAAAUUCUUAUUAUAACCAAGCUAGUAAAUAAGGUAAAAAUUUAAGGGUCGGGAUGUGACAAUUCUCCCCUCCUUAUAAAAAUUUCGUCCUCGAAAUUUACAUACCUGACAAUCAAAAAGAUAGGGAUACUGCUGCCUCAUUUGCUCCUCUGAUUCCCAAGUAGCUUCCCCUACUUGAUGACUCCUCCACAGAACUUUAACAAGAGGAAAAAGAUUUGCAUCUAGCACUUGCUCCUUUAGGUCGAGAAUCUGAACCGGCUCCUCAUCAUAGGCCAAAACUUUUUUCCCAAUUAAUCGACUGCUCUCGCAACACAUGAGAGAGAUCGGCAAUAAACUUGCGAAGCAUGGAUACAUGAAACACAUUAUGUAUCCUGGAUAACUCUAGAGGCAAAACUAACUGAAACACAAGAGAGCCAACUUGAUCUAAAAACCCAUAAGGACCAAUAAAUCUCGGACCAAGCUUUUCACGUUACCAAAACGUACCACCCCUUUCCAAGGGGAUAAUUUCGAAAAACACUCAAACACUCACUUGAAACUCAUGGUCCUUCCUGCGGACAUCUUUAUAACUCUUCUGGCUACUAAGAGCUGCUUUGAGUCUAUCUCUGACUCUUUUAACCUUUUCAUUUCUCAAAGACUCUAAAUCCUUCGUUGAACUAUCACUAACGUUUGCACGUAAGUGAGUUCAGUGAUACCUGCUCCAGAGUACGAGUACCUGUAGGUAUGCACACUCUUUCCUGAGCAAUGGAAAUAGCUAACCCAAAUAAAACGCAUAAAUUUGCUAUCACCAUCGGGCUCAAAUCUCCUAACAUCACGCAACAACCUCGUCAUUACGUUGCUCACAGCUCGACAAUGAAGCCCACUUGCUAGGAAACUAAAAUUCACACAUUCCCACAUGCUCAUAGGGGUCAAAAUUAAGACCCGAUAAUUGAACAGAUUUUUAAGGAUGCACACACUACAACAAUCACUCCUAUUUCUGAGACACCUCGCAGAGUCUUUCGCGGAGCCAAAGCUCUCGCAAGUCCACAAGAUAACCUUGCUCUACCUAAAUGACCAGUCCACCAACAUAUGAUAACCUCGAUUGCCUAAAUAACAUUAUGAAAAGAUCAAUACCACGACACUUAGAUCUCUCCACCAAAACUAUUACAUUACCAUUUUAUGCACCACAAACUAGCAACUUAUGGGAAUUUCCAACUCUCUCCUGAUUCUGCUAUCUCCACUAUUAUUUACCACAAACCAGAAGAUAAUCUGAAGCAUGACUAACAUGUGGAAACUGGAUAUUCCUCCUUGCUCGCCAUAAACAAAAAACUAAUUAAUGCCCACGAAGAUUGGCACAGUCAAUUCAUGAUGCCAAACUUGACGUUGAAAUCCACAUAAAUAGAACACCUUCCUUAAGCAUUGACAAAAAUUUACAUCUCCAGCCAUGCUACUUAUUCGGGUGCAACUACGACCCCAAGAGCAGUAAUUAAAAGCACACGGCUCACGCUAGCCGUUCCAUAAGAAUGAUUCUAAAUACCAAAACCUUUGAAUCCGACAAAUACAUUUCCUUUUUUUUUUUUUUUUUUUUUUUAAUUUUACCUUUUACCUCUAACAACAAUAAAUCUGAUAGCAGAAAACAAUCUGAAAAUCAGAUAUGCUCAAGUCUCCUCCACAUCCUAGGGCCACGACUUCCCACCAAAAAGAUUCUUCGAAAACCGAGCUUGCAAUAACAUGCGACUAACAAAAGCAAAGAAAAAUUUUUAUACAAGACCCACUACUACACCUUGUGGUUCACCAACUAACGAAAACCAUGAAUUCAAGCAAGAAUCAAAACUCAUGGCUUAACUCAGCUCAAGCUCCAAAAGAAAUAAUUUAAAGCACACGAAAAGCAAGUCCUCUAACUUCGAGCUCAAAAGCUCCACAGAUCUCCGAUAUCCGCCAGAACCCGCUUCGAAAUCACACUAGAAACCUCCACUAAUCAUCCUGACACCAACAGAUAAACGCACAACCAAAAAGCAAAGACCUCCCAAACAAAAACUUGGAUCAAUGAGUGGUCCCACCACAAAACGAUCCUGAGAAGAGACGUUGAUCAACCUAUCAAUAAAUCUACUAUUCGCCAUAAUAAUCUCUUAAUAAACCUUGACUCGAAAAUCUUCUUGAGUCAACAGGGGAAAACCUUCUCCCAUAAUGCUACAUCAUGAAAUAUACCUACAAUAGAGACCAAAAUCAUCAGAAAACUUACUAUUCAUCAACUACUAACAUCCAUCAUUUCAAAAUAUAUUACCACUACCAUCUGGAUAAAAUGCUCUAAGGAUAGAAACAUAUCCAUAAUUAGCACUGCAGAAACCAGAACAUAUACCGCCAUAACCAAAAUUAUCCCAACAUGUUCCCAAUUGAUUUAUGUUGCGGAUAAAAUUGUCGGCAAAAUAGCCUUCAAUCAAGACUUAUCUAAAUUCACAUUUAGCUCUUUAUGCAGCAAUACCUUACCACCCAAUCACUAGCCACAAAUUUCCUAAAACCUUGAUUAACCCAAGACUAGGGUCCUCAACAACUCAUAUAGGUACCCCUUUGAAUUACCAUUGGAUACCUCACCUCAUCAUUUCAACUAACUUUUUCAUCAAUAGAAUACACCACUAUUUCGAACUUUCCUUUCAACUCAACUCUCUUAGAAGUCACGUAACUCAAUACCAAAAUCUCCCAUCAAUCAAUUUUUGACUCCAAUCUUGCCCACUAAAAAAAUGGACAACUCCAAGGCAUUAAUCAUCAACAUUUCACCCAACAUAUUUGCAGAAGAUGCUCACCUUAGCAUCUUAAUCUGAAACCUUAAUCUUAAUUAACCCAAUCAAUCAUUGGAUACCUGAAAGGAAUGCUAACAAGCUUUUUCGUUCCCCACUCGCAAAACAACUCCAACAAUUAAUAUCAAAGAUAUUAAAUUAAUGAACUUUGGAAUAGGUGCAAACUAUACACCUUUUCAAAACUCGAAGGAUGAACACUCAAGAGGUCAGCGUACUAAGGCAUAGUUUUAGAGAUGUAGACAUUUAUGGCACACUACUGUCCAUAAAUAAAAGAAGAACAACUACAUCACAACCCUAAUCAACACAUAGUGUCUUAAGCAUAUAAUGCUAAUAGAUCCGCCGCGGUUGGACAAUCACUCUAUAGACACUAAGUGCGACCAAGAAUAUAAGGUAGUACUAAAAAAAGAAAGGAAACGAAUAACCUAGUGCUCUGAUACCAACUGACACGACCCACCCCAAAUUUCACCCUGAAACCCAGAGUAAGUCGUGCGGGGACCACCUCCAAGGAAAAUUUACUGAAAAAUCGGCAUAACCUCCCUUGAAAAUGGACAACCCUUCCUAAUAAUACCUGCAAACACUUUUGAAAAUUUAAAUCCAACCUUAAACUCCUGGAGCCUCCGUGCUCCCCAAAUCACAACACCACCCAAAUUAUUUACUAAUCUAAACAAAUCUCAUAUCCAACCAUUUAUAGGUUCAGAGCAACUCUAACAGGAAGAAAGGAAACAUAAUAAAUUAACAAGCGGAAGCUAUAUGAUGACUAUGCCUCAUCCCCAUGUACGCCCGACCUCAACUAUGCAAUCCUGCAAACUGGGCAUUUUUAAAACGAAGAGCCCAGGGGAAAACAUUUGAAACACAUUAGAGUGAGUGGACAAAAAUAAAUUAACGAAUAAAAUAUUUAUGUUUCCCCAAAUCAAUUUCCAAGGAAAAUCGAAUGCAUGCUGCAAGCGAUAAAACUUUUAUCUCAUAAAUGUCGAGCCUCUCAGGCUUUAUAAUAUAUGUAUGUAUUUACACACGUCCAUACUCCCUAUAUAAAUUCAUGGGUCUAUAUAGGGCUACUACGCUCGCGUCCAACGCUCACGUCACGCCUUAAUGCGGUGCUACACUACGCCAUAAGGUGGACAGACGGGUGUAUAAAUAUGUGCCUAUACCCCUUAUAUGAAUUAAACACUCAUAUAGGGCUACUACGCUCGCGUCCAACGCUCACGUCACAUCAUAAUGCGGCUAUAUGCUACGCCAUUAAGGUGGACAGACACAUAGGGCUAGCUAGCUUUUAUAUACAUACUCUCUCAUAAAUACAUAUUUAUAUCCACCGAAAAUCCCAUUUUCGGUAACUCUCCAAGAGAAAUAAAAAUCGUCAAAAUUAAAAUGACGUCAAAAUGUUCCACAACAUUAAUUGUUCAUCUAUGAACUAUAGCAUGCAUUUUAUUUAAAACAAAAGUCCACUCACAACUCUAGGCAUAAGCCCGACGAAAUCCAAAUCGCCACUCCAGAGAGGUUUCCUUGAACCCUGGCACAAAUACAAAAUUAAUUUCCCAACUAAAACUCCAAUAUUUAAACAAAAUAGGCAAAAUUAACCGAGAGCCAUAACUACGCUCAUCAUUGCCUAACUUCAAUAUUCUUAAAUCGAAACGAUCCGAACUUAAAUAUCAUACUCGGCAGCCGUAAUUACAACCUCCCCAAAAAUACGACUUCGGAAAUUCAUAAACCUAUCCAAAACUCAUACAAAAAUUUCAUAACUCACUUCAACAAACUCCCCUUAAUAUUCUAAAUUUAAAACCCUAAAAAUCUUCCAAACAGUGGCGGCGGCUCCGCCGGUAGCGGCGGCCGGAGGCCGAUUCCGGCGACCUCCAAAUCCUACCAAAUUUUAACAGUAGCUUCCUCUCCACUCCCUCUACAACUUUCCUAACUAGCACAAACCCAAAAUCCAAGCCUAACUAGGUCAAACGAGCAAAAACAUCUAAAACACCCUAGAACUUCCACCUCUAAUUUCUCCUUACCUGAAGCGAACCGGAGUGAGCCCUUUUAGGGCAAGGCAGCUGGGUUGGAGACCUUCAAAACCGUACCAAGCUUGCCCGGAUUGGUGGCCGGAGGAGGGAGUUCCGGCGAAGUGAAGCUUUGGACAGUCGGACCUUUAGGGGGAGAGCACUCUUUCACGACGGAGCUAGGGAAGCUGCUACCGAUCCAGGGAGGUAGCUGGGAUGAUGGCCUACCGAACGGGACCGGUGCGGUAGNNNNN
rnacentral:lncRNA from 1 species